CUUGUACUCCUUCCGUCUGGAAAUACUUGUCAUUGAAAUGGAUGUAUCUAGAUGUAUUUUAGUUCUAGACACAUCCAUUUUGAUGACAAGUAAUUCCGUACGGAGGGAGUACUUG
rnacentral:pre_miRNA from 1 species